rnacentral:rRNA from 1 species
GGUAUGGCUGUUCGCCAUUUAAAGUGGUACGCGAGCUGGGUUUAGAACGUCGUGAGACAGUUCGGUCCCUAUCUGCCGUGGGCGCUGGAGAACUGAGGGGGGCUGCUCCUAGUACGAGAGGACCGGAGUGGACGCAUCACUGGUGUUCGGGUUGUCAUGCCAAUGGCACUGCCCGGUAGCUAAAUGCGGAAGAGAUAAGUGCUGAAAGCAUCUAAGCACGAAACUUGCCCCGAGAUGAGUUCUCCCUGACUCCUUGAGAGUCCUGAAGGAACGUUGAAGACGACGACGUUGAUAGGCCGGGUGUGUAAGCGCAGCGAUGCGUUGAGCUAACCGGUACUAAUGAACCGUGAGGCUUAACCUUACAACGCCGAAGCUGUU